CCUACGGGCAGCAGUGGGGAAUCUUGCGCAAUGGGCGAAAGCCUGACGCAGCAACGCCGCGUGCGGGAAGAAGGCUUUCGGGCUGUAAACCGCUUUCAGCAGGAACGAAAAUGACGGUACCUGCAGAAGAAGGAGCGGCCAACUAUGUGCCAGCAGCCGCGGUGAUACAUAGGCUUCAAGCGUUGUCCGGAUUUAUUGGGCGUAAAGAGUUCGUAGGCGGUCGAGUAAGUCGGGUGUGAAAAUUCUGGGCUCAACCCAGAGACGCCACCCGAUACUGCUUAACUUGAGUUCGAUAGGGGAGUGGGGAAUUCCUAGUGUAGCGGUGAAAUGCGCAGAUAUUAGGAGGAACACCGGUGGCGAAGGCGCCACUCUGGAUCGAUACUGACGCUGAGGAACGAAAGCAUGGGUAGCAAACAGGAUUAGAUACCCUGGUAGUCCAUGCCGUAAAACGGUGGGCACUAGGUGUGGGAUUCUAUUAACGAAUUCCGCGCCGUCGCUAACGCAUAGUAGCCGCCGUCGGAGGUACGGUCGCGAGAACGUAAACCGUUAAACGGUAAAGUUAGUACGGUCGUGAGACGUUAGUCCGAACGGACGACGACGAGGGAGGUAGG
rnacentral:rRNA from 1 species